UCCCUGGUGGCUCAGACAGUAAAGCAUCUGCCUGCAAUGCGGGAGACCUGGGUUCAAUUCCUGGGUUGGGAA
rnacentral:tRNA from 1 species